rnacentral:lncRNA from 1 species
UCCUGGCAUCCACCAUCCGGCAGAGCUAUCCCAGAAGGACGCCGCCACGAGGGGUGUCUUGCACUAUUGGUGAUCAUUACCCUCGGGGGCUCUCCCCUUCGCUCGCUCUCCUCUUCAGCCGCGGACGUCCUCCCGGAGCCCGCCCCUACCGUCGGUCCGCUCCUCCUGCCGCUGGGCCUCUGGGGACGCGCCCGAGCCCCGGUGCCGGCCCUAGCGCUUCUCAAACGGCUCGGAGCCGAGGAGUUUACCCGUUGCCUAGCAACCCUGGCCCGGCCCUUGGAGGGCUACGGAGCACGUGACCUGACGUCCGCCCACAUGGGAAACGCCGCCUGUCCCCUCUCCCUCUUCUGGAGGACUGUGGAGUUCGGAGAAAAAUUAACCAAGUGAGGAGCACACGGAUCGAGCAGAGAUGUGCCCACCUGGCUCCUUCAGGAACCACCCAAGGGAUUCUGGUUUAGUUUACAUGCAUUAAAAACAACUCUCUAGUCGCCAACAAAGAACGUUAAGAAGCAACACCUUGACGUCGCAGAGUUGCCAUCUGCAUGCGUCGCGGCCAUCUGAAGGUGUGUUUCUGGCGCACAGUAUGUACAGGUUAAUGCAGGUGAGACCGGGUCCUGGCUGCCCUGUGGCCCCGUUCUGCUGUGGAGGCUUGGCUGGGGGCUGAGAACCACUCUGCUAUCAGUGUUCUGAUGUGAAGGUGGCUCUUCCAAAACCGAAACAGAGCCCUUGCCCGUUUCCCACCCCUCCACGUCCCUGCUUUGGUGGGUGAGGCUGGGGGGGGGUGCUUCAGCGUGGUGCACUCUGAGCUGACAGGAGGGUGGAAGCACCGAAGACCCUAACCCUGGGCCCUGAGCGGGCAUGAUGGUGGGUCAUUACUACCUCCUGGCCAACAAGUUCCUUCUCACCGAGCAGGUACAGCACAGGGGCCCAGGACAACAGGGUGGGGACAGGGAGUGAGGGGAGGUAGGGAAGACACCUGUCUUCAGGUCAAGACACAAUCGUCCCACUGUGCUGAAACCUUUUAUGACAAACUUGCUUGAAGACAAAAGGGAGGGGACAGUUGACCUGGGCAUGCGGCCCUUCCCCUGGAACGGGGGCUCUGCUCCGUUGUCCCUCUUAGCUUCUUUCCUUUCUUAAAGGGCCUCCCCUGAGGGGGAUGAACCCACAUCCCCAUCAAACAGCCGCUUGGGACGGGAUGUCUCACUGAUCUUUAUUUUGUUUAAAAAUCCCCGCUCCCCCACUUCCAGAUCCAUAAAGAACUGGCUGGUUGAUGCUGGCAAAAUCUGCAAAGUCAUGGUAUAGAAACCAGGUGUAAGGAAUGAGCCCCAAAUCUACUGUAAAAACGGGAUGUGUUAUGAGUUUCAAUUCUU